GUGAGUGGAAGGUGAUGGGAUGACUUAUUCAGUGAGUGGGAGGUGAUGCGAUGACUUCUUCAGUGAGUGGGAGGUGAUGGGAGGACUUCUACAGUGAGUGGGAGAUGAUGGGAGGACUUAUUCAGGGACAGGAAGGUGAUGGGAGGUCUUCUUCAGUGAGUGGGAGGUGAUGGGAGGAAUUAUUCAGUGACUGGGAGGUGAUGGGAUGACUUAUUCAGUGAGUGGGAGGUGAUAGGAUGAAUUAUUCAGUGAGUGGGAGGUGAUGGAAGGACUUAUUCAGUGAUUGGGAGGUGAUGGAAGGACUUCUUCAGUGAGUGGAAGGUGAUGGGAUGACUUAUUCAGUGAGUGGGAGGUGAUGGGAUGAUUUAUUCAGUGACUGGAAGAUGAAUGGAUGAUUUAUUCAGUGACUGGAAGGUGAUGAGAGGACUUAUUCAGUGAGUGGAAGGUGAUGGGAGGAGUUAUUCAAUGAGUGGAAGGUGAUGGGAGGACUCAUUCAGUGAGUGGAAGGUGAUGGGAGGACUCAUUCAGUGAGUGGGAGAUGAUGGGAUGACUUAUUCAGUGAGUGGGAGAUGAUGGGAUGACUUAUUCAGUGAAUGGAAGGUGAUGGGAGGACUUAUUCAGUGAGUGGGAGGUGAUGGGAUGACUGAUUCAGUAAGUGGGAGGUGAUGUAAGGACUUAUUCAGUGAGUGGAAGGUGAUGGGAGGACUUAUUCAGUGAGUGGGAGAUGAUGGGAUGACUUAUUCAGUGAGUGGCAGAUGAUGGGAUGACUUAUUCAGUGACGGGAAGGUGAUGGGAGGACUUAUUCAGUGAGUGGUAGGUGAUGGGAUGACUUCCUCAGUGAGUGGGAGGUGAUGGGAUGACUUAUUCAGAGAGUGGGAGGUAAUGGGAGGACUUAUUCAGUGAGUGGAAGGUGAUAGGAUGACUUAUUCAGUGAGUGGGGGGUGAUGGGAGGACUUGUUCAGUGAGUGGAAGGUGAUGGAAGGACUUAUUCAGUGAGUGGAUGGUGAUGGAAGGACUUAUUCAGUGAGUGGAAGGUGAUGUGAUGACUUAUUCAGUGAGUAGGAGGUGAUUGGAUGACUUAUUCAGUGAUUGGGAGGUGAUGGGAGGACGUAUUCAGUGAGUGGAAGGUGAUGUGAGGACUUAUUCAGUGAGUGGGAGGUGAUGGGAGGACUUAUUCAGUGAGUGGGAGAUGAUGCGAUGACUUAUUCAGUGAGUGGAAGAUGAUGGGAGGACUUAUUCAGUGAGUGGGAGAUGAUGGGAGGACUUAUUCAGUGAGUGGGAGGUGAUGGGAUGUCUUAUUCAGUGAGUGGGAGGUGAUGGAAGGACUUAUUCAGUGAGUGGGAGAUAAUGGGAUGACUUAUUCAGUGACUGGAAGGUCAUGGGAGGACAUUCAGUGAGUGGGAGGUGAUGGAAGGACUUAUUCAGUGAGUGGAAGGUGAUAGGAUGACUUAUUCAGUGAUUGGGAGGUGAUGGGAGGACUUAUUCAGUGAGUGGGAGGUGAUGCGAUGACUUCUUCAGUGAGUGGGAGGUGAUGGGAUGACUUAUUCAGUGAGUGGAAGGUGAUGGGAGGACUUAUUCAGUGAGUGAGAGAUGAAGGGAUGACUUAUUCAGUGAGUGGGAGGUGAUGGGAUGACUUAUUCAGUGAGUGGAAGGUGAUGGGAUGACUUAUUCAGUGAGUGGCAGGUGAUGCGAUGACUUCUUCAGUGAGUGGGAGGUGAUGGGAGGUAUUCUUCAGUGAGUGGGAGGUGAUGGGAUGACUUAUUGAGUGAGUGGGAGGUGAUGGGAUGACUUAUUCAGUGAGUGGAAGGUGAUGGGAUGACUUAUUCAGUGAGUGGAAGGUGAUGGGAUGACUUAUUCAGUGAGUGGGAGGUGAUGCGAUGACUUCUUCAGUGAGUGGGAGGUGAUGGGAGGAAUUCUUCAGUGAGUGGGAGGUGAUGGGACGACUUAUUCAGUGAGUGGAAGGUCAUGGGAGGACUUAUUCAGUGAGUGGAAGGUGAUGGGAUGACUUAUUCAGUGAGUGGGAGGUGAUGCGAUGACUUCUUCAGUGAGUGGGAGGUGAUGGGAUGACUUAUUCAGUGAGUGGGAGGUGAUGCGAUGACUUCUUCAGUGAGUGGGAGGUGAUGGGAGGAAUUCUUCAGUGAGUGGGAGGUGAUGGGACGACUUAUUCAGUGAGUGGAAGGUCAUGGGAGGACUUAUUCAGUGAGUGGAAGGUGAUGGGAUGACUUAUUCAGUGAGUGGGAGGUGAUGCGAUGACUUCUUCAGUGAGUGGGAGGUGAUGGGAUGACUUAUUCAGAGAGUGGGAGGUGAUGGGAUGACUUAUUCAGUGAGUGGGAGGUGAUGGGAUGACUUAUUCAGUGAGUAGAAGGUGAUGGAAGGACUUAUUCAGUGAGUGGAAGGUGAUGGGAGGACUUAUUCAGUGAUUGGAAGAUGAUGGGAUGACUUAUUCAGUGACUGGAAGGUGAUGGGAGGACUUAUUCAGUGAGUGGGAGAUGAUAGGAUGACUUAUUCAGUGAGUGGAAGGUGAUGGGGGGACUUAUUCAGUGAAUGGGUGGUGAUGCGAUGACUUCCUCAGUGAGUGGGAGGUGAUGGGAGGAGUUCUUCAGUGAGUGGCAGAUGAUUGGAGGACUUAUUCAGUGAGUGGAAGGUGAUGGAAGGACUUAUUCAGUGAGUGGAAGAUGAUGGGACGACAUAUUCAGUGAGUGGAAGUUGAUGGAAGGACUUAUUCAGUGAGUGGAAGGUGAUGGGAUGACUUAUUCAGUGACUGGAAGGUGAUGGGAGGACUUAUUCAGUGAGUGGGAGGUGAUGGGAUGACAUUCAGUGAGUGGAAGUUGAUGGAAGGACUUAUUCAGUGAGUGGAAGGUGAUGGGAUGAUUUAUUCAGUGACUGGAAGGUGAUGGGAGGACUUAUUCAGUGAGUGGGAGUGAUGGGAUGACUUAUUCAGUGAGUGGGAGGUGAUGGGAUGACUUAUUCAGUGAGUGGGAGGUGAUGGGAUGACUUAUUCAGUGAGUGGGAGGUGAUGGGAUGACUUAUUCAGUGAGUGGGAGAUGAUAGGAUGACUUAUUCAGUGAGUGGAAGGUGAUGGGAGGACUUAUUCAGUGUGUGGGAGGUGAUGAGAUGACUUCUUCAGUGAGUGGGAGGUGAUGGGAGGACUUCUUCAGUGAGUGGGAGAGGAUUGGAGGACUUAUUCAGUGAGUGGAAGGUGAUGGAAGGACUUAUUCAGUGAGUGGAAGAUGAUGGGACGACAUAUUCAGUGAGUGGAAGUUGAUGGAAGGACUUAUUCAGUGAGUGGAAGGUGAUGGGAUGACUUAUUCAGUGACUGGAAGGUGAUGGGAGGACUUAUUCAGUAAGUGGGAGGUGAUGGGAUGACUUAUUCAGUGAGUGGAAGUUGGUGGAAGGACUUAUUCAGUGAGUGGAAGGUGAUGGGAUGACUUAUUCAGUGACUGGAAGGUGAUGGGAGGACUUAUUCAGUGACUGGAAGGUGAUGGAAUGACUUAUUCAGUGAGUGAGAGAUGAUGGGAUGACUUAUUCAGUGAGUGGGAGGUGAUGGGAUGACUUAUUCAGUGAGUGAGAGGUGAUGGGAUGACUUAUUCAGUGAGUGGGAGGUGAUGGGAUGACUUAUUCAGUGAGUGGAAGGUGAUGGGAUGACUUAUUCAGUGAGUGGGAGGUGAUGGAAGGAAUUAUUCAGUGAGUGGAAGGUGAUGGUAUGAUUUAUUCAGUGAGUGGGAGAUGAUGGGAGGACUUAUUCAGUGAGUGGAAGGUGCUGGGAUGAUUUAUUCAGUGACUGGAAGGUGAUGGGAGGACUUAUUCAGUGAGUGGAAGAUGAUGGGAGGACAUAUUCAGCGAAUGGGAGAUGAUGGGAUGACUUAUUCAGUGAGAGGAAGGUGAUGGGAUGACUUAAUCAGUGAGUGGAAGGUGAUGGGAUGACUUAUUGAGUGAAUAGGAGGUGAUGGGAUGACUUAUUCAGUGAGUGGGAGAUGAUGGGAUGACUUAUUCAGUGAGUGGGAGGUCAUGUGAUGACUUAUUCAGUGAGUGGGAGGUGAUGUGAUGACUUAUUCAGUGACAGGAAGGUGAUGGGAGGACUUAUUCAGUGAGUGGGAGGUGAUGGAAUGACUUAUUCAGUGAGUGGGAGGUGAUGGGAUGACUUAUUCAGUGAGUGGGAGGUGAUGGGAUGACUUAUUCAGUGAGUGGAAGGUGAUGGGAUGACUUAUUCAGAGAGUGGAAGGUGAUGGGAUGACCUAUUCAGUGAGUGGGAGGUGAUGGGAUGAAUGAUUCAGUGAGUGGAAGGUGAUGGGAUGACUUAUUCAGUGAGUGGGAGGUGAUGGGAUGACUUAUUCAGUGAGUGGAAGGUGAUGGGAUGACUUAUUCAGUGAGUGGAAGGUGAUGGGAUGACUUAUUCAGUGAGUGGGAGGUGAUGCGAUGACUUAUUCAGUGAGUGGGAGGUGAUGGAAGGACUUAUUCAGUGAGUGGGAGGUGAUGGAAGGACUUAUUCAGUGAGUGGGAGGUGAUGGGAGGACUUAAUCAGUGAGUGGAAGGUGAUGGGAUGACUUAUUGAGUGAGUGGGAGGUGAUGGGAUGACUUAUUCAGUGAGUGGAAGGUGAUGGGAUGACUUAUUCAGUGAGUGGAAGGUGAUGGGAUGACUUAUUCAGUGAGUGGGAGGUGAUGCGAUGACUUCUUCAGUGAGUGGGAGGUGAUGGGAGGACUUCUUCAGUGAGUGGGAGGUGAUGGGAUGACUUAUUCAUUGAGUGGAAGGUGAUGGGAUGACUUAUUCAGUGAGUGGGAGGUGAUGCGAUGACUUCUUCAGUGAGUGGGAGGUGAUGGGAUGACUUGUUCAGAGAGUGGGAGGUGAUGGGAUGACUUAUUCAGUGAGUGGGAGGUGAUGGGAUGACUUAUUCAGUGAGUGGAAGGUGAUGGAAGGACUUGUUCAGUGAGUGGGAGAUGAUAUGAUGACUUAUUCAGUGAGUGGAAGGUGAUGGGAGGACUUAUUCAGUGAAUGGGAGGUGAUGCGAUGACUUCCUCAGUGAGUGGGAGGUGAUGGGAGGACUUCUUCAGUGAGUGGGAGAUGAUUGGAGGACUUAUUCAGUGAGUGGAAGGUGAUGGAAGGACUUAUUCAGUGAGUGGAAGAUGAUGGAAGGACUUAUUCAGUGAGUGGAAGGUGAUGGGAUGACUUAUUCAGUGACUGGAAGGUGAUGGGAGGACUUAUUCAGUGAGUGGGAGGUGAUGGGAUGACUUAUUCAGUGAGUGGAAGUUGAUGGAAGGACUUAUUCAGUGAGUGGAAGGUGAUGGGAUGACUUAUUCAGUGACCGGAAGGUGAUGGGAGGACUUAUUCAGUGAGUGGGAGGUGAUGGGAUGACUUAUUCAGUGAGUAGGAGCUGAUGGAAGGACUUAUUCAGUGAGUGGGAGGUGAUGGGAUGACUUAUUCAGUGACUGGAAGGUGAUGGAAUGACUUAUUCAGUGCGUGAGAGAUGAUGGGAGGACGUAUUCAGUAAGUGGGAGGUGAUGGGAGGACUUAUUCAGUGAGUGGGAGUGAUGGGAUGACUUAUUCAGUGAGUGGGAGGUGAUGGGAUGACUUAUUCAGUGAGUGAGAGGUGAUGGGAUGACUUAUUUAGUGAGUGGGAGGUGAUGGGAUGACUUAUUCAGUGAGUGGGAGCAGAUAGGAUGACUUAUUCAGUGAGUGGAAGGUGAUGGGAGGACUUCUUCAGUGAGUGGGAAUUGAUGCGAUGACUUCUUCAGUGAGUGGGAGGUGAUGGGAUGACUUAUUCAGUGAGUGGGAGGUGAUGGGAUGACUUAUUCAGUGAGUGGGAGCAGAUAGGAUGACUUAUUCAGUGACUGGAAGGUGAUGGGAUGACUUAUUCAGUGAGUGGGAGGUGAUGGCAUGACUUAUUCAGAGCGUGGAAGGUGAUGGGAUGACUUAUUCAGUGAGUGGGAGGUGAUGCGAUGACUUCUUCAGUGAGUGGGAGUUGAUGGGAGGACUUCUUCAGUGAGUGGGAGAUGAUGGGAGGACUUAUUCAGUGAGUGGAAGGUGAUGGAAGGACUUAUUCAGUGAGUGGAAGAUGAUGGGACGACAUAUUCAGUGAGUGGAAGUUCAUGGAAGGACUUAUUCAGUGAGUGGAAGGUGAUGGGAUGACUUAUUCAGUGACAGGACGGUGAUGGGAGGACUUAUUCAGUGAGUGGGAGGUGAUAGGAUGACUUAUUCAGUGAGUGGAAGGUGAUGGGAUGACUUAUUCAGUGACUGGAAGGUGAUGGGAGGACUUAUUCAGUGAGUGGGAGGUGAUGGGAUGACUUAUUCAGUGAGUUUGAGCUGAUGGAAGGACUUAU